rnacentral:sRNA from 1 species
GGGAGACCGGGGUUCGAUUCCCCGCCGGAG